rnacentral:rRNA from 1 species
GGGCGAACCCGGGGAACUGAAAUAUCUAAGUACCCGGAGGAAAAGAAAUCAACCGAGAUUCCCUCAGUAGCGACGAGCGAACGGGGACUAGCCCAAAAGCGCACAGUGUUUUAGUUGAACAGUCUGGAAAGGCUGGCCAUAGACGGUGAUAGCCCGGUAAGCGAAAGGGCACCGUGCGUGAAAUUGAGUAAGGCGGGGCACGUGAAACCUUGUCUGAACAUGGGGGGACCAUCCUCCAAGGCUAAAUACUCCUGACUGACCGAUAGCGAACUAGUACCGUGAGGGAAAGGCGAAAAGAACCCCGGAGAGGGGAGUGAAAUAGACCCUGAAACCGUAUACGUACAAGCAGUGGAAGCCCGCAAGGGU